rnacentral:rRNA from 1 species
GACGAACGCUGGCGGCGUGCCUAAUACAUGCAAGUAGAACGCUGAAGGAGGAGCUUGCUUCUCUGGAUGAGUUGCGAACGGGUGAGUAACGCGUAGGUAACCUGCCUGGUAGCGGGGGAUAACUAUUGGAAACGAUAGCUAAUACCGCAUAAUAGUAGAUGUUGCAUGACAUUUGCUUAAAAGGUGCAAUUGCAUCACUACCAGAUGGACCUGCGUUGUAUUAGCUAGUUGGUGAGGUAACGGCUCACCAAGGCAACGAUACAUAGCCGACCUGAGAGGGUGAUCGGCCAAACUGGGACUGAGACACGGCCCAGACUCCUACGGGAGGCAGCAGUAGGGAAUCUUCGGCAAUGGACGGAAGUCUGACCGAGCAACGCCGCGUGAGUGAAGAAGGUUUUCGGAUCGUAAAGCUCUGUUGUAAGAGAAGAACGAGUGUGAGAGUGGAAAGUUCACACUGUGACGGUAUCUUACCAGAAAGGGACGGCUAACUACGUG